rnacentral:rRNA from 1 species
CCGGUAAACGGCGGCCGUAACUAUAACGGUCCUAAGGUAGCGAAAUUCCUUGUCGGGUAAGUUCCGACCUGCACGAAUGGCGUAAUGAUGGCCAGGCUGUCUCCACCCGAGACUCAGUGAAAUUGAACUCGCUGUGAAGAUGCAGUGUACCCGCGGCAAGACGGAAAGACCCCGUGAACCUUUACUAUAGCUUGACACUGAACAUUGAGCCUUGAUGUGUAGGAUAGGUGGGAGGCUUUGAAGUGUGGACGCCAGUCUGCAUGGAGCCGACCUUGAAAUACCACCCUUUAAUGUUUGAUGUUCUAACGUUGGCCCCUGAUCGGGGUUGCGGACAGUGUCUGGUGGGUAGUUUGACUGGGGCGGUCUCCUCCUAAAGAGUAACGGAGGAGCACGAAGGUUGGCUAAUCCUGGUCGGACAUCAGGAGGUUAGUGCAAUGGCAUAAGCCAGCUUGACUGCGAGCGUGACGGCGCGAGCAGGUGCGAAAGCAGGUCAUAGUGAUCCGGUGGUUCUGAAUGGAAGGGCCAUCGCUCAACGGAUAAAAGGUACUCCGGGGAUAACAGGCUGAUACCGCCCAAGAGUUCAUAUCGACGGCGGUGUUUGGCACCUCGAUGUCGGCUCAUCACAUCCUGGGGCUGAAGUAGGUCCCAAGGGUAUGGCUGUUCGCCAUUUAAAGUGGUACGCGAGCUGGGUUUAGAACGUCGUGAGACAGUUCGGUCCCUAUCUGCCGUGGGCGCUGGAGAACUGAGGGGGGCUGCUCCUAGUACGAGAGGACCGGAGUGGACGCAUCACUGGUGUUCGGGUUGUCAUGCCAAUGGCACUGCCCGGUAGCUAAAUGCGGAAGAGAUAAGUGCUGAAAGCAUCUAAGCACGAAACUUGCCCCG